CGAAGGGUGCAAGCGUUACUCGGAAUUACUGGGCGUAAAGCGUGCGUAGGUGGUGGUUUAAGUCUGCUGUGAAAGCCCUGGGCUCAACCUGGGAAUUGCAGUGGAUACUGGAUCACUAGAGUGUGGUAGAGGGAUGCGGAAUUUCUGGUGUAGCAGUGAAAUGCGUAGAGAUCAGAAGGAACAUCCGUGGCGAAGGCGGCAUCCUGGGCCAACACUGACACUGAGGCACGAAAGCGUGGGGAGCAAACAGGAUU
rnacentral:rRNA from 1 species